rnacentral:tRNA from 1 species
GGCUGGAUAGCUCAGUCGGUAGAGCAGAGGCCUGAAAAGCCUUGUGUCAUCGGUUCGAUUCCGAUUCUAGCCACCA